AGGCUUUUGGUUGAUAGAUGGUCACUGUAAACGGCCAGAAAAGGUCCUCUGGCGUCCACCUGACUCGCGCAUUACGCAACUUUUUUUCUGGGCGCAGUUUUGACCAGAACUCAAAGGAAUAGAACGUUCUGCGGCCGUUGCCUAGCAGCGCCGGCGUUUGCUAGGAUACACGAACAUUCUCCCGCCGUCUCGCCAAUUUUUAGCUAAUCGGUUUUGAUUUGCGGCAUUGUUGUUUCGGAGAAACAGAGAAAAAGAAGAGGAAAUUUCAGCAGCAUGGAGAUUUGAAGACUGAUACAGCUGAAAGUACAGAAAAAGUAAAGUUCGCUAAAAAAAAAAACCUCAUGGAUGGACGAUGUUGUUAAUAGUAGUAUAAAAUAAGGACCACACCAGCACCUGAACGGACCGAAGUGACAUUUGCUGGACGAGUUUCAUCGGACAAAGAGGAAAAAAACACCUGUUUUAUGGUUUUUCCAAACACAAGACAGCCACAUACCUCGUUGGAUGUCAUUGUUUGUCACUGGAGGUUGGCCCCCAGCACCUCAUUCCCAAUGACAUCAUACAGGUGGUGAAAGCCAGCAAGCUCAAUUGGGCGGGGAACAAGGUGUUGUCUGUCGUGUC